rnacentral:rRNA from 1 species
GACGAACGCUGGCGGCGUGCUUAACACAUGCAAGUCGAACGAAGUGGCGAACGGGUGAGUAACGCGUAAUCAACCUGCCCUUCAGAGGGGUACAACAGUUGGAAACGACUGCUAAUACCGCAUACUUAAGGAGGGGAUUGCGUCUGAUUAGCUAGUUGGAGGGGUAACGGCCCACCAAGGCGAUGAUCAGUAGGCGGUCUGAGAGGAUGAACGGCCAAAGUGGGACUGAGAAACGGCCCAGACUCUUACGGGAGGCAGCAGGUGGGAAUCUUCCGCAAUGGACGAAAGUCUGACUGAGCAACGCCGGGGGAGGGAUGACGGCCUUCGGGGUGUAAAGAUCUGUUAAUCGGGACGCGGUACCGGAAUAGAAAGCCACGGCUAACUACGUGCCAGCAGCCGCGGUAAUAC